rnacentral:rRNA from 1 species
AAGCAUGGCAAGUCGAACGGGAUUGAGGCCCUUCGGGGCUUCAUGAGAGUGGCGAACGGGUGAGUAACACGUAGGUGAUCUACCCUCGGGUGGGGAAUAGCCCAUGGAAACAUGGGAUAAUACCGCAUGAGGUCUUUGGGCGUGAAGCCCAUGGAUGAAAGGAGCAAUUGUUCCGCCUGGGGAUGAGCCUGCGGUCCAUUAGCUAGUUGGUGUGGUAAGGGCGCACCAAGGUGACGAUGGAUAGCCGGCCUGAGAGGGUGAACGGUCACACUGGGACUGAGACACGGCCCAGACUCCUACGGGAGGCAGCAGCUAAGAAUCUUCCGCAAUGGGGGAAACCCUGACGGAGCGACGCCGCGUGGGCGAAGAAGGCCGCAAGGUUGUAAAGCCCUUUUCUUGACGAAGAAUAAGGUCAGGAGUGGAACGCCUGGCCGAUGACGUUAGUCGAGGAAGAAGCCCCGGCCAAUUACGUGCCAGCAGCCGCGGUAACACGUAUGGGGCAAGCGUUGUUCGGAAU